rnacentral:rRNA from 1 species
AUGCCGCGUGAGUGAUAGAAGGCCCUCGGGUCUGUAAAGCUCUUUUGUCAGGGAAGAAACGGUCUACUCUAAUACAGUGGGCUAAUGACGGUACCUGAAGAAUAAGCACCGGCUAACUACGUGCCAGCAGCCGCGGUAAUACGUAGGGUGCAAGCGUUAAUCGGAAUUACUGGGCGUAAAGCGUGCGCAGGCGGUUUUAUAAGUCUGAUGUGAAAUCCCCGGGCUCAACCUGGGAACUGCAUUGGAGACUGUAAGGCUAGAGUGUGUCAGAGGGGGGUAGAAUUCCACGUGUAGCAGUGAAAUGCGUAGAUAUGUGGAGGAAUACCGAUGGCGAAGGCAGCCCCCUGGGAUAACACUGACGCUCAUGCACGAAAGCGUGGGGAGCAAACAGGAUUAGAUACCCUGGUAGUCCACGCCCUAAACGAUGUCUACUAGUUGUCGGGUCUUAAUUGACUUGGUAACG